GAUGAACGCUGGCGGCGUGCCUAAUACAUGCAAGUCGCGCGAAGCGGGGACGGGUGAGUAACACGUGGAUAACCUCCUAUAAGACUGGGAUAAAUUCGGGAAACCGGAGCUAAACCGGAUACUUAUAGAUGGAUCCGCGUUGCAUGAGCUAGUUGGUAAGGUAACGGAUCACCAAGGCAACGAUGCAUAGCCGACCUGAGAGGGUGGUCGGCAACCCGGGGACUGGAACACGUCCCGGACACCUACGGGGGUCAACGUUAGGGAAUCUUCCGAAAUGGGCGAAAGCCGGACGGGGCAACGCCGCGUGAGGGAUGAAGGUCUUCGAAUCGUAAAGCUCUUUUGUUGGGGAAACGGUACCUAAUCAGAAAGCCACGGCUAACUACGUGCCAGCAGACGCGGUAAUAC
rnacentral:rRNA from 1 species